AGCUUUGCACAGUGGCAGUAUCGUAGCCAAUGAGGUUUAUCCGAGGCGUGAUUAUUGCUAAUUGAAAAGCAACAGAAGUGUAGGUCAACAAGGAUGAAGGGACACAUAAUUGUCUGGCCGAACAAUGGAGCAAUCGGU